CCUACGGGAGGCUGCGGUGGGGAAUAUUGGACAAUGGGGGCAACCCUGAUCCAGCCAUGCCGCGUGUGUGAAGAAGGCCCUCGGGUUGUAAAGCACUUUCAGUGAGGAAGAACGCCUGGUGGUUAAUACCCAUCAGGAAAGACAUCACUCACAGAAGAAGCACCGGCUAACUCCGUGCCAGCAGCCGCGGUAAUACGGAGGGUGCGAGCGUUAAUCGGAAUUACUGGGCGUAAAGCGCGCGUAGGUGGCUUGAUAAGCCGGUUGUGAAAGCCCCGGGCUCAACCUGGGAACGGCAUCCGGAACUGUCAAGCUAGAGUGCAGGAGAGGAAGGUAGAAUUCCCGGUGUAGCGGUGAAAUGCGUAGAGAUCGGGAGGAAUACCAGUGGCGAAGGCGGCCUUCUGGACUGACACUGACACUGAGGUGCGAAAGCGUGGGUAGCAAACAGGAUUAGAUACCCGAGUAGUC
rnacentral:rRNA from 1 species